GAGGAAAGUCCGGGCUCUAUUUAGAGAAUUAUAGCUGUAUAAAAUACAGUGUAGGUAACUGCGAGGAUAGUGCCACAGAAAAAAACCGCCUUUUUUUAUUCUUAAUAAUAAAUAAAAGGUAAGGGUGCAAUGGUACGGUAAGAGCGUACCAGAAAUAUUUUCAAAAUAUUUGCUAGGUAAACCCCAUAUUUGAGCAAAGCAAUUAGUGAAUAUAACAUUCUAUAUUUAUAUAAUAAUUAAGACUAAUUUAUUUAUAUACUGCAUGAAGUAAUAUAAUUAUUACUCUAGAUUAAUGAUUACCCUUUUUGUUUAUAAUUACUAUGAACUAUAAAUAUAGUAUAAUUACAAUUAAGAACAAAACCCGGCUUAU
rnacentral:RNase_P_RNA from 1 species